rnacentral:rRNA from 1 species
GAUGAACGCUGGCGGCGUGCCUAAUACAUGCAAGUCGAGCGAACAGACGAGGAGCUUGCUCCUCUGACGUUAGCGGCGGACGGGUGAGUAACACGUGGAUAACCUACCUAUAAGACUGGGAUAACUUCGGGAAACCGGAGCUAAUACCGGAUAAUAUAUUGAACCGCAUGGUUCAAUAGUGAAAGACGGUUUUGCUGUCACUUAUAGAUGGAUCCGCGCCGCAUUAGCUAGUUGGUAAGGUAACGGCUUACCAAGGCAACGAUGCGUAGCCGACCUGAGAGGGUGAUCGGCCACACUGGAACUGAGAAACGGUCCAGACUCCUACGGGAGGCAGCAGUAGGGAAUCUUCCGCAAUGGGCGAAAGCUUGACGGAGCAACGCCGCGGGAGUGAUGAAGGUCUUCGGAGCGUAAAACUCUGUUAUUAGGGAAGAACAAAUGUGUAAGUAACUAUGCACGUCUUGACGGUACCUAAUCAGAAAGCCACGGCUAACUACGUG